UUCCCAGCAAUCCCUGCAAAAAAGGACACUUCCAUGUAUGCUGAACAUGUAGGGGUGAUCAAAUUGGACAGGGUCGUUUUCAAAGGGCCCCAAAGGCCCCCAAACCCCCCAAAUGGCCAAUUUGGCACCAAUAAGACACCAGCUCCAAAAUGCCAUUUAAAAAAAGCUUGACAAUGGUUUUAAACAGUGAAACCCACUCCUCAUAUACACCUUGGUCUACCCCUAUGGUUUGAACUUAUUCUGGCCCAUCCAGUUGUCAUACAGUUGGUUCUAAUGAACCAGUCACAGUCGGUGCGCAGCUGAGCUCUCAGACACUUUCAGUUGUGUUUUGUGCGUUUCCAAACCCUGGAGCAUCUCUGACAGGCUACAGAUCUUCUGCUGCUGGGAUUUUAGAAUCAAUGAGACCGUUUUCUUUUGGACUGGAGCAAAAAAAACUCAAAGGGAUAUAUUUUCUCGAGAGCAGAGUCCAACAGAACAAAAAGAAAUCUAUGGACCCUAUGGGCAUCUCCAAAAGUGCGCAGGUGUAUCCAAAGGCACAAAGAGCCCUGAAAAGGUUCCAAGGGGGAGAAUCUGAAGUUUAUCCAGAAUAAAAGCCUCCGGCCUCAGGCAGCAGCUGAACAAGUGAAGCCCUGUUCCCUCUCUGCAGCCUGGGAUGGAGAAACGGGAGCAUGAAGGCGAGCACGUGUUAAAAAUGUCAAAGGCUUCAUUAUCUGCAGCCCGGAUUGUCCGUGUCAUCGCUCGGACCACGCAACAGACGCGCAUCAGUGUCGCGGUUACUUCUGCAGCCGGAGCAGGACGCACGCGCCUGUUCUCUCGGUGCAUUUGUCGCAGCAGCUGUCAAACAGAUCAUGUUUCACACAGCGAAGAGAUGAACACUCACUGGUCGUGACACACAUGGAGCAAACUACACUUGUGCAACAUCAGCUGUGCGUAUUAGUGCCGCUGCGGUAAAGCGUAAUUAUUAUCUUUAGGUUCCAGAGAGACACAAACAACCUGCGUGUUGCAAGAGUGUGUUGUGUGUUUUUAUUUUCAGCUGCUGGCAGGUGGAGCGACGUGUCGACGGUUCGAAACCCACAGUGAUGAGGUCUGGAGGCAGAGAACACAAAGAGAUGAGGUACAGAUCAAACCAAAAUGUCGUGGUUCUUCUUCCUCUCAUUCAUUAAACAGUAGUAGUAUUUGCUGACUUCACCGUACAACCAUUCCAUAUUGUUUGUCUGAUGUCAGUGUGAAUAUUCUCAAAUAAAAUUAUAAAUAAAUAUA